rnacentral:rRNA from 1 species
AACGAACGCUGGCGGCAUGCCUAACACAUGCAAGUCGAACGAGACCUUCGGGUCUAGUGGCGCACGGUUGCGUAACGCGUGGGAACCUGCCCUUAGGUUCGGCAUAACUCCCCGAAAGGGGUGCUAAUACCGGAUAAUGUCUUCGGACCAAAGAUUUAUCGCCUUUGGAUGGGCCCGCGUUGGAUUAGCUAGUUGGUAGGGUAAAAGCCUACCAAGGCGACGAUCCAUAGCUGGUUUGAGAGGAUGAUCAGCCACACUGGGACUGAGACACGGCCCAGACUCCUACGGGAGGCAGCAGUGGGGAAUAUUGGACAAUGGGCGAAAGCCUGAUCCAGCAAUGCCGCGUGAGUGAUGAAGGCCUUAGGGUUGUAAAGCUCUUUUACCCGGGAUGAUAAUGACAGUACCGGGAGAAUAAGCUCCGGCUAACUCCGUG